rnacentral:rRNA from 1 species
UAACCUGCCCAAGAGAUCGGGAUAACACCUGGAAACAGAUGCUAAUACCGGAUAACAACAGAUGAUGCCUAUCAACUGUUUAAAAGAUGGUUCUGCUAUCACUCUUGGAUGGACCUGCGGUGCAUUAGCUAGUUGGUAGGGUAACGGCCUACCAAGGCGAUGAUGCAUAGCCGAGUUGAGAGACUGAUCGGCCACAUUGGGACUGAGACACGGCCCAAACUCCUACGGGAGGCAGCAGC